AAACUGCUUGCCCAAAGGGUUAGUAGGAGUGAAGUGUACGGCAGAAGUUAUGAUUGGAGACAAAAAAUGAACUGUCUGCUAGAUACAGGCUCACAAGUGACUACGGUCCCUCAAUCAUUUUAUGAAAAUAAUCUGACAGACUCUCCCUUGAAACCACUGGGUAACCUGUUAGAAGUUGAAGGGGCUAACGGUCAGGCUGUACCAUACUUAGGAUACAUUGAGUUAACCCUAAAGUUUCCUGCAACGUUCAUUGGGGUGGAAGUUGAAAUUCCUACUUUGGCGUUGGUGGUGCCAGACUUGACGAGUUCCCCACAGAUCCUAGUUGGAACUAACUCCCUUGAUGUGUUGUAUAGCAAGAGUGCCAAAGAGAGUUCAGUGAAGCUUCAGUCCAGUCUUUGUGGAUAUCAGGCAGUACUUAGAGUGUUGGAGGCCAGGUGGAUUCGAGCUACCAGCGAGAACCUUGGGUGUGUAAAAGUGAAAGGGACCUCUGUGGAAGUUAUACCUGCAAAAAGUACAGUAGUUUUGGAUGGUGCAGUUCAUCUGAAUGGGCCCUACAUGAAAGGAUGGGUGGCCCUUGAACCACCAUCGAUCCCUUUGCCGAAUGGAAUCUUGAUUGCAAGCUGUCUGCACUCUCUACCCCAUAAGCAUCCAACUAAGUUAUCAGUCCUGCUGAGGAAUGAGACACAAACUGACAUACGACUUACUCCUAAAACUGUGUUAGCGGAAAUCCAUGCAGUCCAGAGGAUCAUGGGCCAGCAUCAAGGUUUAAGCAAGGAACCAGUGGAGAGAGAACGUAACACUGGCAACCUCACCUUUGAUUUUGGAGACUCCCCUUUAUCUGCAGAAUGGAAGGAGAGGAUCUCAAAGUUUCUGAGUUCUAGGCCUGAAGUCUUCUCGCAGCAUGACCUUGAUUAUGGUCACACGGCAAAAGUGAAACAUCAAAUAAAACUAAGCAAUGAGACACCGUUCAAGCAUAGGGCUAGACCUAUUCACCCUCAGGACGUCGAUGCUGUGAGAGCUCACCUCCAAGAGUUAUUGUCAGCUGGAAUCAUACGCGAGUCCGAAUCCUCAUUUGCCUCGCCC
ensembl:lncRNA